GGGCGAGUUAGUUUAACUACUGACACUUGGACGUCCAAUCAAAACUUCAAUUAUAUGUAUCUUACUGCACACUUUAUUGACUGUGAAUGGAAAUUACACAAAAAAAUUAUAAAUUUUUGUUUGAUUCCUAAUCACAAAUGGGACACUAUUGGAAAGCAUGUAGAGUCAUGCUUACUUGAUUGAGAAAUGCUAUUAGUGUCCUUCCAUGCU